CAUGUAUUAUUACUAUGCAAAAUGCAGCUCAAAUUAAGAUCAUAUCAGCGUUUUCCUCCGUUUUCGACAUUUGUUCUUCAUAAUCUGAACCGAAUCUGAACCGAGCAAAAUCUGAAGAGAAAUCCCAAAAUUCUGACCAAAAAUCUUUGAAUUGGAUAAAGUGAAGUUUUGCCAUCACCAACGUUCGGAAGUAAACGGCUCUAUUUUGAAUUUCUUGAGUUCGAAUCCCGCCUAAACCCUAACCCUAGUUUGCAUUUACAAAUAGUAAGGCAUUGCAGCCAUUUCACAGAUGGUUCAGCCGCCCCUUUUUAGCCCUCAAUCUCACGGUUCAGCCGAAAUUCCCCUCACUUUGUUCACUCCUCAAAAAGCUCUUUCAAAAACUAGUUGUUUUUCUUUUAAUCUCUCGGCUUUUGUUGGUUUAUGACCAAAACAGAGUGCUUUUCGUAGUUCGAGGUCGGAGUUCGAUAGUGGAUCUAAGACCCCCAGUUCGCUGCCCUAAAAAGCGAGGAUUUACAACAGAAUAGGGCUACAAACACCGCGAGGCUCCAACACCAACAACCACAUUCAAAGCAACAAAUUUUCUGUCAAGCGGAAACUAACAAGGUCAUUGUUGAUGAUGGUAAGGGUUUUGAGUCCGGUCAGGGAACUGCCGGAGCGAUAAGGAAACUGAACAAGGACAUUCUCGAACAUGAUCGAAGCUCAAGCUUCUCGCACGAGAGGAAAAACUCGCUGAUCGAGGUUACACUGUACAAGAAGCUUCUGGAAGCGCAGCAAAGCAAGAAUGGAGGAUUUGAACAUUACAGGCAGAUCUAGUAUUUGAACAAGCCAAAACACACAAUCAAAAGAUUGUGGAUCAGCCAUUGCAGCUUUAAUUUGAUAUUGGGAACGUCUCCAACAAAAUGUCAUUUUAAUUUACUAUCUGCUCCAAGUUAAUAGUUGAAAAACAUUUCCUUUUAGCACCAUUGGCAAUUCUAGAACUACACUUUGUAGCUCUCUUGGUAAUUGUAGAACAACUUUUUUUUAGCUUUCUUGCCAAUUUUAAGACGCUUCAUUGUAGCUCUUUUUGCACCUCUUCUUUUGUACCUCCCUUUUGCUCUGGAAGUCACAAAUUAUCAAUUCAAAUAACUCUUUUUAGCUCUCUUGGCAAUUUGUGACUUUUAGCACAAAUGGGAUCUACAAAAGAAGAUGUGCAAAAAGAGCUACAAAGAAGCGUCUUAAAAUUGGCAAGAGAACUAAAAAGAGUUGUUUUACAAUUGCCAAGACUACAAGAAGAAUCUAGAACUGCCGAUGAUGCUAAAAAUAUAUGUUUUUCAACUAACUUGGAGCAGACAGUUAAAUUAACACCACAUUUUGUUGGAGAGGUUCUACCUACCCAAUUUCAAAUUAUAGCUUCAAUGGCUGAUCAAGAAUCUUUUUCUUUCUGUUCUAGUUCAGGUUUUUAAUACAGUGCAUUUGAUUUACUUGGUUCGAAGUAGAUAAUUUCUACUUAUUUGAUGAAUUUUCUAAUACAUUAUAAAGUUCGAGCCGAACCUAUAUCGAAUGAACCCAUAAAACCUAUGCUAUAUGACUAUAUCUGCCCCUGAUUAUACUUUUCUUUUUA